UUACGGCCACAUCACAUUGGAACACCAGUUCUCGUACAAUCACUGAAGUUAAGCAACGUCGAUCCUGGUCAGUAUUGAGAUGGAUGAGCAUAUGGGAAUGUCA